AUCAUUAACGAAUUGCGUUCGGGGUUGUUGCUGGUUUUCUUUGAAACGGGAAAGCACGUGCACGCCUCGCAAUCCAUUUCAAACCACACUUGUGCACUUCAGAGGGAGGCCUCCCCCGGUCUCUCCUCUUUCAUCACUAUAAACCACCUUUAAAGUCCUUUGUAUUUUUUGUUAAUUAUAAUUGAAAUACAACUUUCAACAACGGAUCUCUUGGCUCUCGCAUCGAUGAAGAACGCAGCGAAAUGCGAUAAGUAAUGUGAAUUGCAGAAUUCAGUGAAUCAUCGAAUCUUUGAACGCACCUUGCGCUCCUUGGCAUUCCGAGGAGCAUGCCUGUUUGAGUGUCGUGUAAUUCUCAAUCUCGACUUGUUUGUUGUAGAUUGGAUUUGGGAGCUUGUCGUGUCUCUUCUCUUUGAGAAAAGAAAAGAGGUUGGACUCUCCUUGAAUGCAUUAGCUCGGUCACGUAGUUUGCCCGACGGUUCACGGUGUGAUAGUCUCACUUCAUCGCCGUUCCAACCGUUGGUGCCUGUGUCAUUGCCGGCUUCAAAUCUCUGGCUCUUGUAAAAAAAGUGCCUUUACACUUUUGACGCUUGACCUCAAAUCAGGUAGGAUUACCCGCUGAACUUAAGCAUAUCAAUAAGCGGAGGAAAAGAAACUAACAAGGAUUCCCCUAGUAACUGCGAGUGAAGCGGGAAGAGCUCAAAUUUAAAAUCUGGCGGGUUUCCCGUCCGAGUUGUAAUCUGGAGAAGCGUUUUCCGUGUCGGACCGUGUACAAGUCCCUUGGAAUGGGGCGUCAUAGAGGGUGAGAAUCCCGUCCAUGACACGGACUCCCGACGCUCUGUGAUACGCUCUCGAAGAGUCGAGUUGUUUGGGAAUGCAGCUCAAAAUGGGUGGUAAAUUCCAUCUAAAGCUAAAUAUUGGCGAGAGACCGAUAGCGAACAAGUACCGUGAGGGAAAGAUGAAAAGCACUUUGGAAAGAGAGUUAAACAGUACGUGAAAUUGUUGAAAGGGAAACGCUUGGAGUCAGUCGCGUCCGCUGAGACUCAGCUUUGCUUCGGCAUGGUGUAUUUCUCGGUGGACGGGCCAACAUCGAUUUCGAACAACGGAUAAAGGUUUGGGAAAUGUGGCACCUCCGGGUGUGUUAUAGUCCCUUUUCAUAUACGUUGUUUGGGAUCGAGGACCGCAGCACGCCUUUUUGGCCGGGGCUUUGCCCAC
rnacentral:rRNA from 1 species